CACACACACACACACACACACACACACAAGUAAUUAAACCAGUGUUAUCAGUUAGCUAAACUAGGACACAAUUAACAUACUUUGAAGUGUGUAUUGCAUCUUUUACCAAAGGUGAGCCAAUUGGUUUUGUAUAGUAUGGUAGAGUAUCACCAAAUGUGAUGGAUUAGGUUAGGUUUUGCUAUAGUAUAAUGUAGUAUAGUAUACAUAUAUGGAAAAAUACAGUAUAGUACAGCAGGUUUUGCUAUAGUGUAUAGUAUGAAAAUUCACCCUAUUGCCUAAAUGCAUGUUAUUGAUCUUUUUGUGAACGGUUAAAAUAUGGUUAUCUUUUACUCAUUUGUUUUUCAAUGGCUACAGCCUCAUUUUAAGCAAAGACAGUGUUGCUUGUGCAUUUGCUGUCAGUUUGAUCAUAAAUACGUUGAGAUCACUGCUCAGUUUCACCGAUACCCGGCACUGACUCAAGCAGCACAGUGGUAGGGGUGUGUGUGUGUGUGUGUGUCCGCUGCAGACUCGCAUUCAGAUUUGCCUCUGUUCCGCAAUGCAACGCCCAUAUUAUCAUAAUCCAAUCAACAACCAAUGGAUAAACUCAAAUCCCCAAUCUACAAGUGUUUCACUUGGAAAUGCGUCACAAUACGGAAGUCGUUUCAUGCCGACUUUAAGUUCGUUUUUACUAUAGUAUAGGCAACGGUAAAGGAUUAGGCUAAGUUUUGCUUAAGUAUAGUAUAGAAUAGUAUAGUAUAACCAAAUGUGAGGGAUUUAGGUUGGUUUUUGCUCUAAUAAAAUAUAGUAAAUAAUAGUAUAGUAUAGUAUGGUCAAUAGCGAGGGAUUACAUUUGUUUUUCCUAUAGUAUAGUAAAGCACAGUAUGCCCAAAAGUAAAGGUUAAGAUUAGGUUUUGCAGUGGUAUAGUAAUGUACAGUUUAGUAUAGCAUAGGAAAUGGCAGGUUUGGCUCUGGUAUAGUAUAGUCAACUGUGAGGGAUUAGGUUAGUUUUGCUCUGGUAUAGUAUAGUCAACUGUGAGAGAUUAGGUUAGUGUUUGCUCUAGUAUAGUAUAGUCAACUGUGAGGGAUUAUUUUAGUUUUUGCUCUGGUAUAGUAUAGUCAACUGUGAGGGAUUAUGUUAGUUUUUGCUCUGGUAUAGUAUAGUCAACUGUGAGAGAUUAGGUUAGUGUUUGCUCUGGUAUAGUAUAGUCAACUGUGAGGGAUUAGGUUAGUUUUGCUCUGGUAUAGUAUAGUCGACUGUGAGAGAUUACGUUAGUGUUUGCUCUGGUAUAGUAUAGUCGACUGUGAGGGAUUAGGUUAGUGUUUGCUCUAGUAUAGUAUAGUCAACUGUGAGAGAUUAGGUUAGUGUUUGCUCUAGUAUAGUAUAGUCAACUGUGAGAGAUUAGGUUAGUGUUUGCUCUGGUAUAGUCAACUGUGAGGGAUUAGGUUAGUUUUUGCACUAGUAUAGUAUAGUCAACUGUGAGAGAUUAGGUUAGUGUUUGCUCUGGUAUAGUAUAGUCAACUGUGAGAGAUUAGGUUAGUUUUUGCUCUGGUAUAGUAUAGUCAACUGUGAGAGAUUAGGUUAGUGUUUGCUCUGGUAUAGUAUAGUCAACUGUGAGAGAUUAGGUUAGUUUUGCUCUGGUAUAGUAUAGUCAACUGUGAGAGAUUAGGUUAGUGUUUGCUCUAGUAUAGUAUAGUCAACUGUGAGAGAUUAUGUUAGUGUUUGCUCUGGUAUAGUAUAGUCAACUGUGAGGGAUUAGGUUAGUUUUUGCUCUGGUAUAGUAUAGUCAACUGUGAGAGAUUAGGUUAGUUUUUGCUCUGGUAUAGUCAACUGUGAGGGAUUAGGUUAGUGUUUGCUCUAGUAUAGUAUAGUCAACUGUGAGAGAUUAGGUUAGUGUUUGCUCUGGUAUAGUCAACUGUGAGGGAUUAGGUUAGUUUUUGCUCUGGUAUAGUCAACUGUGAGGGAUUAGGUUAGUGUUUGCUCUAGUAUAGUAUAGUCAACUGUGAGAGAUUAGGUUAGUGUUUGCUCUGGUAUAGUCAACUGUGAGGGAUUAGAUUAGUUUUUGCACUACUAUAGUAUAGUCAACUGUGAGAGAUUAGGUUAGUUUUUGCUCUGGUAUAGUCAACUGUGAGGGAUUAGGUUAGUGUUUGCUCUGGUAUAGUAUAGUCAACUGUGAGAGAUUAGGUUAGUGUUUGCUCUGGUAUAGUCAACUGUGAGGGAUUAGGUUAGUGUUUGCUCUGGUAUAGUAUAGUCGACUGUGAGAGAUUAGGUUUGUGUUUGCUCUGGUAUAGUCAACUGUGAGGGAUUAGGUUAGUUUUGCUCUGGUAUAGUAUAGUCAACUGUGAGAGAUUAGGUUAGUGUUUGCUCUAGUAUAGUAUAGUCAACUGUGAGGGAUUAGGUUAGUUUUGCUCUGGUAUAGUAUAGUCGACUGUGAGAGAUUAGGUUAGUGUUUGCUCUGGUAUAGUAUAGUCAACUGUGAGGGAUUAGGUUAGUGUUUGCUCUGGUAUAGUAUAGUCAACUGUGAGAGAUUACGUUAGUUUUUGCUCUGGUAUAGUAUAGUCAACUGUGAGAGAUUAGGUUAGUUUUGCUCUGGUAUAGUAUAGUCAACUGUGAGAGAUUAGGUUUGUGUUUGCUCUGGUAUAGUCAACUGUGAGAGAUUAGGUUAGUUUUUGCUCUGGUAUAGUAUAGUCAACUGUGAGAGAUUAGGUUUGUGUUUGCUCUGGUAUAGUCAACUGUGAGAGAUUAGGUUAGUGUUUGCUCUGGUAUAGUAUAGUCAACUGUGAGGGAUUAGGUUAGUUUUUGCUCUGGUAUAGUAUAGUCAACUGUGAGAGAUUAGGUUAGUUUUUGCUCUGGUAUAGUCAACUGUGAGGGAUUAGGUUAGUGUUUGCUCUGGUAUAGUAUAGUCAACUGUGAGAGAUUAGGUUAGUGUUUGCUCUGGUAUAGUAUAGUCAACUGUGAGGGAUUAGGUAAGUUUUUGCUCUGGUAUAGUAUAGUCAACUGUGAGAGAUUAGGUUAGUUUUUGCUCUGGUAUAGUCAACUGUGAGGGAUUAGGUAAGUUUUUGCUCUGGUAUAGUAUAGUCAACUGUGAGAGAUUAGGUUAGUUUUUGCUCUGGUAUAGUCAACUGUGAGGGAUUAGGUUAGUGUUUGCUCUGGUAUAGUCAACUGUGAGGGAUUAGGUUAGUUUUGCUCUGGUAUAGUAUAGUCGACUGUGAGAGAUUAGGUUAGUUUUGCUCUGGUAUAGUAUAGUCGACUGUGAGAGAUUAGGUUUGUGUUUGCUCUGGUAUAGUCAACUGUGAGGGAUUAGGUUAGUUUUGCUCUGGUAUAGUAUAGUCAACUGUGAGAGAUUAGGUUAGUGUUUGCUCUAGUAUAGUAUAGUCAACUGUGAGGGAUUAGGUUAGUUUUGCUCUGGUAUAGUAUAGUCGACUGUGAGAGAUUAGGUUAGUGUUUGCUCUAGUAUAGUAUAGUCAACUGUGAGGGAUUAUUUUAGUUUUUGCUCUGGUAUAGUAUAGUCAACUGUGAGGGAUUAUGUUAGUUUUUGCUCUGGUAUAGUAUAGUCAACUGUGAGAGAUUAGGUUAGUGUUUGCUCUGGUAUAGUAUAGUCAACUGUGAGGGAUUAGGUUAGUUUUGCUCUGGUAUAGUAUAGUCGACUGUGAGAGAUUAGGUUAGUGUUUGCUCUGGUAUAGUAUAGUCAACUGUGAGGGAUUAGGUUAGUGUUUGCUCUAGUAUAGUAUAGUCGACUGUGAGAGAUUAGGUUAGUGUUUGCUCUAGUAUAGUAUAGUCAGCUGUGAGGGAUUAGGUUAGCUUUUACUAUAGUAUAGUAAAGCCUAGUAUGCCCAAAAGUAAAGGUUAGGUUUUGCAAUGGUAUAGUAAUGUACAGUUUAGUAUAUCAUAUGGCAGUUUUUGCUAUAGUAUAGUACAGCAUAGUAAUGUAUACUGCAGCAUAGUAUAGAAUAGGAAUUAAAAUUUCAUAAAGGGAGUACAUAAUGUCUUAAUGAAAAAAUAAAAUUGCUUAAAGUA